rnacentral:rRNA from 1 species
AGUCUGCAACCCGACUACACGAAGCUGGAAUCGCUAGUAAUCGCGAAUCAGAAUGUCGCGGUGAAUACGUUCCCGGGUCUUGUACACACCGCCCGUCACACCAUGGGAGUCGGGAAUGCCCGAAGUCAGUGACCCAACCAUAUGGAGGGAGCUGCCGAAGGCAGGUCUGAUAACUGGGGUGAAGUCGUAACAAGGUAUC